rnacentral:rRNA from 1 species
AUUGAACGCUGGCGGCAGGCCUAACACAUGCAAGUCGAGCGGAUGAAGGGAGCUUGCUCCUGGAUUCAGCGGCGGACGGGUGAGUAAUGCCUAGGAAUCUGCCUGGUAGUGGAGGAUAACGUCCGGAAACGGGCGCUAAUACCGCAUACGUCCUGAGGGAGAAAGUGGGGGAUCUUCGGACCUCACGCUAUCAGAUGAGCCUAGGUCGGAUUAGCUAGUUGGUGGGGUAAAGGCCUACCAAGGCGACGAUCCGUAACUGGUCUGAGAGGAUGAUCAGUCACACUGGAACUGAGACACGGUCCAGACUCCUACGGGAGGCAGCAGUGGGGAAUAUUGGGCAAUGGGCGAAAGCCUGAUGCAGCCAUGCCGCGUGUGUGAAGAAGGUCUUCGGAUUGUAAAGCACUUUAAGUUGGGAGGAAGGGCAGUAAGUUAAUACCUUGCUGUUUUGACGUUACCAACAGAAUAAGCACCGGCUAACUUCGUG